rnacentral:rRNA from 1 species
GAUGAACGCUGGCGGCGUGCCUAAUACAUGCAAGUCGAGCGAACAGACGAGGAGCUUGCUCCUCUGACGUUAGCGGCGGACGGGUGAGUAACACGUGGAUAACCUACCUAUAAGACUGGGAUAACUUCGGGAAACCGGAGCUAAUACCGGAUAAUAUAUUGAACCGCAUGGUUCAAUAGUGAAAGACGGUUUUGCUGUCACUUAUAGAUGUAUCCGCGCCUCAUUAGCUAGUUGGUAAGGUAACGGCUUACCAAGGCAACGAUGCGUAGCCGACCUGAGAGGGUGAUCGGCCACACUGGAACUGAGACACGGUCCAGACUCCUACGGGAGGAAGAAGUAGGGAAUCUUCCGCAAUGGGCGAAAGCCUGACGGAGCAACGCCGCGUGAGUGAUGAAGGUCUUCGGAUCGUAAAACUCUGUUAUUAGGGAAGAACAAAUGUGUAAGUAACUAUGCACGUCUUGACGGUACCUAAUCAGAAAGCCACGGCUAACUACGUG